rnacentral:rRNA from 1 species
GAUGAACGCUGGCGGCGUGCCUAAUACAUGCAAGUCGAGCGAACAGACGAGGAGCUUGCUCCUCUGACGUUAGCGGCGGACGGGUGAGUAACACGUGGAUAACCUACCUAUAAGACUGGGAUAACUUCGGGAAACCGUAGCUAAUACCGGAUAAUAUAUUGAACCGCAUGGUUCAAUAGUGAAAGACGGUUUUGCUGUCACUUAUAGAUGGAUCCGCGCCGCAUUAGCUAGUUGGUAAGGUAACGGCUUACCAAGGCGACGAUGCGUAGCCGACCUGAGAGGGUGAUCGGCCACACUGGAACUGAGACACGGUCCAGACUCCUACGGGAGGCAGCAGUAGGGAAUCUUCCGCAAUGGGCGAAAGCCUGACGGAGCAACGCCGCGUGAGUGAUGAAGGUCUUCGGAUCGUAAAACUCUGUUAUUAGGGAAGAACAAAUGUGUAAGUAACUAUGCACGUCUUGACGGUACCUAAUCAGAAAGCCACGGCUAACUACGUG